rnacentral:rRNA from 1 species
CGCUAGCUACAGGCUUAACACAUGCAAGUCGAGGGGCAGCAUUUCAGUUUGCUUGCAAACUGGAGAUGGCGACCGGCGCACGGGUGAGUAACACGUAUCCAACCUGCCGAUAACUCGGGGAUAGCCUUUCGAAAGAAAGAUUAAUACCCGAUGGUAUAGUCAGACCGCAUGGUCUUGUUAUUAAAGAAUUUCGGUUAUCGAUGGGGAUGCGUUCCAUUAGGCAGUUGGUGAGGUAACGGCUCACCAAACCUUCGAUGGAUAGGGGUUCUGAGAGGAAGGUCCCCCACAUUGGAACUGAGACACGGUCCAAACUCCUACGGGAGGCAGCAGUGAGGAAUAUUGGUCAAUGGGCGCAGGCCUGAACCAGCCAAGUAGCGUGAAGGAUGACUGCCCUAUGGGUUGUAAACUUCUUUUAUAUGGGAAUAAAGUUUUCCACGUGUGGAAUUUUGUAUGUACCAUAUGAAUAAGGAUCGGCUAACUCCGUGCCAGCAGCCGCGGUAAUACGGAGGAUCCGAGCGUUAUCCGGAUUUAUUGGGUUUAAAGGGAGCGUAGGUGGACAGUUAAGUCAGUUGUGAAAGUUUGCGGCUCAACCGUAAAAUUGCAGUUGAUACUGGCUGUCUUGAGUACAGUAGAGGUGGGCGGAAUUCGUGGUGUAGCGGUGAAAUGCUUAGAUAUCACGAAGAACUCCGAUUGCGAAGGCAGCUCACUGGACUGCAACUGACACUGAUGCUCGAAAGUGUGGGUAUCAAACAGGAUUAGAUACCCUGGUAGUCCACACAGUAAACGAUGAAUACUCGCUGUUUGCGAUAUACAGUAAGCGGCCAAGCGAAAGCAUUAAGUAUUCCACCUGGGGAGUACGCCGGCAACGGUGAAACUCAAAGGAAUUGACGGGGGCCCGCACAAGCGGAGGAACAUGUGGUUUAAUUCGAUGAUACGCGAGGAACCUUACCCGGGCUUAAAUUGCAUUUGAAUAUAUUGGAAACAGUAUAGCCGUAAGGCAAAUGUGAAGGUGCUGCAUGGUUGUCGUCAGCUCGUGCCGUGAGGUGUCGGCUUAAGUGCCAUAACGAGCGCAACCCUUAUCUUUAGUUACUAACAGGUCAUGCUGAGGACUCUAGAGAGACUGCCGUCGUAAGAUGUGAGGAAGGUGGGGAUGACGUCAAAUCAGCACGGCCCUUACGUCCGGGGCUACACACGUGUUACAAUGGGGGGUACAGAAGGCAGCUACCUGGUGACAGGAUGCUAAUCCCAAAAGCCUCUCUCAGUUCGGAUCGAAGUCUGCAACCCGACUUCGUGAAGCUGGAUUCGCUAGUAAUCGCGCAUCAGCCAUGGCGCGGUGAAUACGUUCCCGGGCCUUGUACACACCGCCCGUCAAGCCAUGAAAGCCGGGGGUACCUGAAGUACGUAACCGCAAGGAGCGUCCUAGGGUAAAACUGA